CAAGUUCCAUCAGGUUGGUACCGUUUUUUAUUUGAUUUAUGUCUGUGUUUUUAUUUAGUUACUGUUUUAUUUCAUCUCAGCAGGUCUGAUGAACAAAAUCAGAAUAAAGUUCCAGAUGAAAAUGAUGCUGAACACAACACAUAUGAAUCUCUGCUCCAUGGUGAUGUUGCUCUUUAUGAGUCACUCGGAUGCCUUGAAGACACAGAGAAUAAUCCAAUCUAUGCCAGCAUAGAUGAAUCCUGCAUCACAUCAACUGAGGUUUAAGAAAUCAGGAAGUAAAUGCUGAAGAAGAAUGAAAAAAAACUGGAUUUCCCUGUUUUUUCUCUGAAACUCCAAGAGCGCCACCUGGAUUUACACUCCUUUGAACCCUGAAAAACGGACUCCUCCUACUUCUGACUCCUUCUCCAGCUGCUGAACAAGACAAACAAACUGAACAAAACAUGUUCACAUUUGAUUUUAUUUCUAAAUUGUAUUUGAGUCCACAGAAGUGGAUUUUGGUUUUUGGUCCCCACUCUGAAAUUGGUCCCCAUGCCAUGACUAUAUAACCCAACCAUUGUCCCCACAUUGUCUUAAAUAUGAACAUACACACAGCUGUUUGUAAUUUUAGUCUUUUGUCAUUUUAUUUUAUAAUAUUUAUCCAAACUGCAGCCAUGUUGCUUUAAUAGAUAAUAUAGUUAAGUUUAGAAUGAUGGUAGAUUAUUGGUCAACUUGUGAUUUCAGGUUCAGAUCCUUCUCUGCAUUUAACAGUGUGCUUAGGAAAGAAACUACAGGUUUCAUUGGUCCUGGAGGUCUGGUCCGCUGCUUGCAAGUGUGAGAUAUAAUCCACAUUAUUAGUUAUAAUGCUUGCAUGUUACUCACUUAAUUUACUCACUUCAUUUAAUCCAGCCUAAUAUUUUUUUUUAAAGUACACAGAACAUACAAUAUUUUCAGGUUUUUUGCUCAGUUUUAUUUUUUUUUUAACCAGACCUCCUGGCCCACUGAAAGACAGAAGACUGAACAUGUAUCAUAUCAUCAUGGAUACAUUUUUAUGCUUGAGGAAAAAGCAGCACACCUGUUGUUAUACUGUGUGAUACUGUUUGUCAUUCAUGAUUAAUAAACUGCUUAUUUUGAGCUUCCUUUAAUUGAACUUUUUCCUUAGGACAAUGAGGUACUCGUCUUAACAAUUUGAGGACUUGUUCAUUAGUUUUUAUUUUUUUAUUUUUUACGUCUGACUUCACGGCAGUUCUAAAUGUUGGCGCCACUGCAAAUUAUAAGCAGAAACCUAUUUAGCAUUCUGCAAUCAGACAUAUAGACGUGAAGCCUGUAUAGAGAAUUUUAACUGAGUAAAUAUGAUAUAUAGUGUAGUUUACUUUUUUUGGCUAGAAAAAUCUAGGAUGGACAAAUAGGAAAAAAGGUUAGUAAACGUUAAAAAAAUAAAGGAAAAAAUACACAUUUAGAGCCCAAUCCAUUUCUACACAGUGUCGGAAGCAGUAUUGGUUUUUUGAGUCUGGUUUGAGUGUGUCGGAAGCGAUGACCCCCAAAUGCAUAAAAAUAUAAAGAAAAAAAGAAGAAAGGAACUUCUCAUGUUAAUAGUGUGAUUGAAAGUCUUUUCUCCCCUCAUUAAAGAACAAACAGCAUAAAUGUCUCAGCUUCUCUGUGCAAGGGUAAUACUGGCCUUUCCUCCUUUGCUCAGCGCAAACAAAAUUUAGUAAAAUUGUAAAAGGUUGUGACAGCCCUAUAUUAAAAAAAAAAA